UACAGAGGGUGCGAGCGUUGUCCGGAAUCACUGGGCGUAAAGGGCGCGUAGGUGGCCUGAUAAGUAGGGGGUGAAAUCUCGAGGCUCAACUUCGAGGCUGCCUCCUAAACUGUCAGGCUUGAGCAGAGUAGAGGCAGGUGGAAUUCCCGGUGUAGCGGUGGAAUGCGUAGAGAUCGGGAAGAACAUCGGUGGCGAAGGCGACUUCCUGGACCAAUACUGACGCUCAGGUGCGAAAGCGUGGGGAGCAAACAGG
rnacentral:rRNA from 1 species